GGGUUUCGGACAAUCUGGGACCGACUUUCCUGUACUCUACAACCAGUGGCAGGGGAAGUUGGGGAACAGGUUUUAUUUUGGAGAGGCUAAUCAGUUCCAGCUAAAUUGGGAACCAUAGUUAAGAUUUUCUGCCAAGUGCAAACACGGCACACAAAACAUGAUUUAACUGUAACAGAUUUCUUAGCAGAUCGAAUAGGAGCGGUGAAAACUGGGGGUCUUGGACCAUGCUCCCUUGGGGAAAAUUUGCAAAAUUGAGGCUCAGAAAUGCCAUUUCCUGCACUGAGGUUAAGAAUUUGGAAGCAAAUAUGCGCCUGUCUGCACCAGACAUUUAUGAAUUGUGGAUUAAACAUGCAACUCUCAUAGCAGAAAUUCAGGACCGACUUUUGAUACAGUUUCAAUAAAAACUGGGAACAACUUUGUGUGCACCUGAGUGAAUAUGGUGGUAAACAAUGAAUGAGAUUGGUUGUCUUCAAGUUAAACUCCUUUAUAGUUCAGCUUUGACUUGUCAAGAACAAGAAUAAAACACUUUGGAACAUUCCAAGUUCAGCAUAUUUAGUAGCAGUGUUCAAAACAGCUAGGCCACAAUUUUUUUAAAAAAAUACAAAUGCUUCGACCCAAUUAGAAAUUAGACAUAUAUGAAGCACCAUCAAAUGAACAUCAUAUGUUUUAUGAAACAAACUGCUAUAUGUAAAUGUAGUUGUUUUAAAGACUGAACUUCUGAAAACUAUUUCCAACUAAGAUUAUUUCCACAAAGAAUCUAACAGAACCAGGAUAAGACAGGGCCACUCAAAUAUGUGUGCCUAAUGUGUCAGUCCUACUAAAGAAUGCCCGGGAAAGCCCAUACACUACAUACACUGGAAAAAAUCCAUAGAAUGGAAAUUGUAUGGACCUUUAUUGGAAAUAAAAUGGAAUUUGAAUGGAUAUAGUAUCGAAAUAGUAUGGAUAUACUAUGAAUUUAGUGGUGCAAUCGCAAAUCUCAUAGUAUGGAUUUCACAAUUUUUUUUCCUAGUGAUAGUUACGUCAAAUUUUGGGCCUGGCCUUAAUAAUCAAAUUGCUUGACUGAUUUCAAGAGGAAAGAGCCUGGGAACGAGGUUGAUUUCAAGUUAAUUCCCUGUUUUCCACUCAGGUCUUAACUCAAACAUAUUUUUUUUCUCGAGUCAAGCUCUUGACAAAAAUGGGUGUUUGCAGGAGUAUAUGUUGUAAUGAAAAAAGUUCUAGCUAAGUAUUGUAUUCUUUGACGGGUUUACAUCUAUGCAAGCUCAGGUUGCAUGCAAUUAGAAAGUAGAAAGAAUCUGAUAUCACUCCUGGCAGUGGUAUUCUUCUGAGGACUAUACUAUCAGCCAACAAGAACACGUCAUUAAGCAUGACUCACGAAUCUUAUUAAAUGCCAUGAGCUCGUGCGAGUGCUAGUGAAUUAAGUUGACGUCGUAACCUGAGGAUGAAGUAACGCGAUGUGCCCCUGCAAACAAGUUUCCGCUGAGGAAGAAAUAGUCUUGUAAUGGCCAGGUGCCAACACCAUGCACAUACUGAAAUAGUCCAAUAGGAACCUCAGACACUAUCUGACUAUUUGGUUAUUUAAUUCAUUCAUAGACAUGUCCUUUUGUGAAUUGCACCUGGUCCUAUAUGUGAUGAAGUUUCGUUUGAUUCCCACAAUCGGUUCGAAGAAGUAAAGACUUUAUAAUAUCACGUUUUGUUUAAGUUAUAAUUCCCGUUCUAAAGUCAACGCUCGCUCACAUGUUAUGUACUAUAUCCGAAGUGUCAAUCAAAUUGUACAUUUCCUUAAUAAUAUUAACACUACUGAUCUAUAAAUGUAACUGUAUAAACGUUCACGAGACACUCCCCCUAUUUUAAAUAAUCCUUAUUUGAAAUAUAAACUGACUAAGUUUGACUAACUGUUGGUCGCUUUAUCAAGUCACUUACAGUUUUACUUAUACCCAUGCAAAGUUAUUAGUCACCGUCCUCUUCAGUCUCCUGCAUCUGAUGAAUAUUCCUUAAUGCUUCAACCGCUGCUCUUCGUUUUGGUCUAAACUCUCUGGCUUCGGGAUUCAGUUCUCCUUGAUUUUGUUUCUUCGCUUCACAGUAUAACUCCAUUGGAUAUAGAAACUGAAUAGGUCUUUCGAGGUAACUCUUUCCUGCACGCAGUCUCACCGCUCUCACGAUUUCAUCUCUUCCAGGUAUUAGUUUGUCCACGAUUCCAAUCUUCCACUUGCCUCGGUUCUUUUCAUCGCCCUUGAUAAGAACUACAUCGCCUUCUUGCAAUCGUGCGCUUUUCCCGUGGUGUCGUAAAUCGUGUCUCUCUCGAAGUGCUCUCAUGUAUUCAUUUUGCCAACGACGCCAUAACGCAUCUUUACACUUCUUUAAAUGUUUUGCUCUCCUUCGUAGAUCGUCUUCUUCAAUUUCUUCAGUAGGCAACUCUAAUAGAUAAUUUGCUUUUCCCAAUAUCAGGAGGUUUGGUGUGAGAACCGGAAGUUGCACGUCAUCUUCACAAUACGUUAAAGGGCGGUUAUUCAGUACUAUUUGUAUGUCCAGUAAUACAUCUUGCAACUCUUUGUAAGUGAGUUUAGCUGAACCAACAACUUUGUAAAGCGAAUUCUUCACCAAUCCAACCAUUCUUUCAAACAUGCCGCCCCACCAGCUUGCCUUGCUUAAGUUAAACUGCCACUGGAUUUUAU